GUUUGGGAAGGCUCGCCAGCAAUAUACGACGGGCGGAGCGUGGCCGUUUACAUUCGCCAAUUCAGUACAUCGCGUUGGACUUAAUCUUUUGCUGGAGGGAAGAAUGGACAUUACGCGUCGUGAACUCACGGCGGCCGGUGUUUGCGCCGGCGGCUGGGUCCGUCGGCACGCCGGUGUGCGGCAUGCCGACCCGAUAGACAC
rnacentral:sRNA from 1 species